rnacentral:rRNA from 1 species
ACUCCUACGGGAGGCAGCAGUGGGGAAUUUUGGACAAUGGGCGAAAGCCUGAUCCAGCCAUGCCGCGUGCAGGAUGAAGGCCUUCGGGUUGUAAACUGCUUUUGUACGGAACGAAAAGCCUCUUUCUAAUAAAGAGAGGUCAUGACGGUACCGUAAGAAUAAGCACCGGCUAACUACGUGCCAGCAGCCGCGGUAAUACGUAGGGUGCAAGCGUUAAUCGGAAUUACUGGGCGUAAAGCGUGCGCAGGCGGUUUUGUAAGACAGAGGUGAAAUCCCCGGGCUCAACCUGGGAACUGCCUUUGUGACUGCAAGGCUGGAGUGCGGCAGAGGGGGAUGGAAUUCCGCGUGUAGCAGUGAAAUGCGUAGAUAUGCGGAGGAACACCGAUGGCGAAGGCAAUCCCCUGGGCCUGCACUGACGCUCAUGCACGAAAGCGUGGGGAGCAAACAGGAUUAGAUACCCUGGUAGUCCACGCCCUAAACGAUGUCAACUGGUUGUUGGGUCUUCACUGACUCAGUAACGAAGCUAACGCGUGAAGUUGACCGCCUGGGGAGUACGGCCGCAAGGUUGAAACUGAAAGGAAUUGACGG